CAGCAGAGCCAGCAGCAAGACCACCAGAAUGACGAGCACCACGAUGCCGCCGAUGGCCCCCCACGACUCCCUCUCACCGGGAGGGAGGGGGACCAUAACGCUCCCUGACUGCUCAGGUGAUUCUGUCAAACAGGCUUCUCUCUGGAGCUCUAGUAGCAACAGACCGGUGAGCCAAUCAGAAGAGAGGAGGCUCUGAGCCUGAUCAAACACUCAGAGAAACCAAAUCCUGCAAGUCAUCUCCACUUUCACAAACGCAGUCUCCAGUAAAUCGGUCACAGUUGAGGUUGGUCGGACAGGAGCAGGUCUGAGUACAGAAUGAGCCGAAACGUCCUGGACUACAGGCUGAAAGACACACGGUGCAACCGGAGAGUGAGGGAGAUGUCAAUCAAGCAGUCUGGACACGCCCACUCAGUCCUAAUCAGGUACAGUAUUGUAAGUAAAGAUCUGAAUACUACAGAGAAUGCUAAUAAAUAUAAAAAAGCAUAAGAAUAAACCUUUACUGUGAUGGAUCAUCUAUCCUAUAUAACUUUUAAAAUGAAAACUAAUGGCUGCAUGGUGGAAAAUCAAACCUAAAAACCUGAAAAUCUUUGGUUUGGUAAAAAAAAACAAAAAAAGAAAACGGUUGACAUUAAUGUAAAGUAUUGGUUACUGAGGUUAGGCAAAUAUAUUCAGUCUCACUGUUGGUCCUUCAGCUCAGAGAACAGUGUGAUCAGACUCAAACCUGUGGCUCACUCAUUUUCUAUUGGACCAGACUUAUCUGUGAUACCAAAGCCAAGCUGGCAGCGACACCGGGAGGACGUCAUCAC